UACGUAGGUGGCAAGCGUUGUUCGGAAUUAUUGGGCGUAAAGGGCGCGUAGGCGGCUAUUCAAGUCAGGCGUGAAAGCCCCGGGCUCAACCUGGGAGGUGCGCUUGGGACUGGGUGGCUGGAGUUCGGGAGAGGAGAGUGGAAUUCCCAGUGUAGAGGUGAAAUUCGUAGAUAUUGGGAAGAACACCGGUGGCGAAGGCGGCUCUCUGGACCGAGACUGACGCUGAGGCGCGAAAGCGUGGGGAGCAAACAGG
rnacentral:rRNA from 1 species